AGUUCUUUGUUGCUGUGUUGCCCACUCCUACAGGCCGCAUACUUGCCGGUUACUACUUGCUGGAUGUAGUCUGCUGUCGCAAAAUGGACACUUCUACUUUCAUAACUUCUUGUGAAUACGGGCCUAAGUGUUGUAAGAACGCAUGAGAAAGGACUCUCUACUUUAAGCUCCCGAG